GGGUUCAGAGCUCAGCGAGGAGAUCCCAGGUGCGGAGGCCAUUAGCGGGGCUUCCGGCAAUCUCAGUCGGGGAGCUCCCCAGACAUUGGAGCAAGUGUGAAGCUGAAGAACUUUCUGGAAGCUCGGGCCUGUCUACUUCUCCAGAGAGGUAUCCAUUGAAUUCGCACCCAGUUCUCGUACCACUGCACCGUGUCCUGGAGCCCCAAACUCCCUAGACCUCCUACUGUACUCCUGGGUCUCUCAUUCUCAGCUUUUCCACCUAUUUCUAGCGUCUACGGUCCUGUUGACCUGACCUCCUGAGACCAUCGAGCAAGUCUUCCUCUGCGUGUCCACUUGGCUGCAGACAGACUUCUUGGCCAUGUGUCCCCCAGUCAGUGUUCGCCAUGGGGCCAAGGGCAUGUCCUGCCUCUAUGGAGCCUGGCUGUACCAGCUUGUCCAUGGAGAACAAAUGAAGAUCUGUUUUGCUUGCUUCAAGGCAGCUUUCCUGGUCGUUAAGAACAUGCUGGAGAUGGGAGACUGGGAAGAGGAAGUGUGGGAUGCUGAGCCAAUGGAACUCUCAGAGGCAGGAUCUGAGCCAGAGGAGUGGCCCGGGCUUAGCUGGGGAGAGGGCCAAGGUCAUACGCCACAUGGCAUCUCUGCCUCUACAGGUUCUGGGGCUCAAGCACCAGGCCUUGUAGGGACAGAGGGGACAGGGCAGGGACCCCAGCCUGUGCCCACUGAGCUGGGGCCUCAGGAAGCUGUACCUCUGGAUCUGGGCCCUGAGGAUGCG
rnacentral:lncRNA from 1 species